CUUUCAUGUACUAAUGUUUUUUGCAUAUGUAUAUUUAUAUUUAUGCUAUUUUGGGUAUAUGCUUUUAGGAGGGAUCAGACCUUUACGAUGAGCUUGUUAAAGCUAUACAGGAAAAAUGGUUGGCCGUGACCAUUUGAUUUUCGGAAUAGCUCUGCAUUUGAGAUAAUGACCGAGGAGCUUGUGGAUCUGUUCAAACACAAAGUAAUGCUAAAAAGCUACCGUAGGAGGGGCCAGACUUGUUUCUGAUUGAAAGCAACGACGCAGAAGAAAUAAGUCUUGAAGGUGAUCGAUCUGUGUUACAAAGACAACUCGAUGCCUACAGUCAAGCUUGCGAUGACCAACAGACACCAGGAGCAAAGAGACACGGUCAACCGGUUUGCUUUGGUUUUCUUGUUCGUUAGGUUUAGCCUUUUGGUUUGGUUAACCAGUUUAUUAUUUAUAAACCAUUUUAAUUUGUAAACCAUUUUGAAACGUAUUAUUAUAAAUAAAAUAAUUUCAUUUACUUUC